rnacentral:rRNA from 1 species
GCUUGGCCCUAACCCUCAGUAGUUAGAUAACAAAACUACUCGCCAGAAUACUACGAGCUACAGCUUAAAACUCAAAGGACUUGACGGUGCUUUACACCCCCUAGAGGAGCCUGUUCCGUAAUCGAUAAACCCCGAUCCACCCCACCCUCUCUUGCUCAGCCUAUAUACCGCCAUCUUCAGCAAACCCCAAUGAAGGUCACAAAGUGAGCGCAAACGCCACCCCGCGAAUACGUUAGGUCAAGGUGUAGCCUAUGAGAUGGUAAAAAAUGGGCUACAUUUUCUACCUCAGAAAAUCCACGAAAGCCCCUAUGAAAUUUAAGGGCCCAAGGAGGAUUUAGCAGUAAAUUAAGAAUAGAGUGCUUAAUUGAACUAGGCCAUAAAGCGCG